rnacentral:tRNA from 1 species
AAAUAAGAAGCAAUAAAUUGCAUUUAAUUUCGACUUAAAAAUUUGAGAAAUAAAUUUCUCCUUAUUUA